rnacentral:tRNA from 1 species
AAGAUCCCGUCGGUCAUCAUGACCGGUCGGGAUCUUCGUCGUUUCCGGCGGCGACAGCGGCAGCGGCGGAGGCG